CAUUAGAUGUCUUUAAGAUGUCUAAAAGAUCUGUGGAUGUGGAAAGGACGUCCAAAAUACGUCUUUAGGACGUACUUUAGACGUCUUUUUUUACAUCUUUUAGAUAUCUUUUGAACCAGACAUAUAAUGUCUCUUAGUUGUUUUUAGAUAACUCUGAGACAUUACCAUCAUUGUCCCCGAAUAUCCGCGGACAAAAAGGGACGUCUUUUAGACGUCUCUAAGCUCACUGGGAAAUGUCAUAAAUGACAUUGCACACUGUCUGCCUUAUGAAGGCCGAUAAUGUAUUGGAACAUUAAUAUUUUUCUAUCUUUCGUAGGGGUGCUACAGACGUAGGACACUUAAGAGGACCUGAUAAGUGAUUAGUGAGCUCGCUUCCUACAACUCUACAUGAUUGGAAGAAAUGGAAGAAGAAAGUUUUGGAUGCACAUUUCAGGCAGAAAUAAGGGUAGCAAAGGAGAGGGGAUUUGCUAGAAUUGGU